AUUGAACGCUGGCGGCAUGCCUUACACAUGCAAGUCGAACGGCAGCACGGGAGCAAUCCUGGUUGCGAGUGGCGAACGGGUGAGUAAUACAUCGGAACGUGCCCAGUAGUGGGGGAUAACCCGGCGAAAGCCGGACUAAUACCGCAUACGACCUACGGGUGAAAGCGGGGGAUCGCAAGACCUCGCGCUAUCGGAGCGGCCGAUGUCAGAUUAGCUAGUUGGUGGGGUAAAGGCCUACCAAGGCGACGAUCUGUAGCUGGUCUGAGAGGACGACCAGCCACACUGGGACUGAGACACGGCCAAGACUACUGCGGGAGGCAGCAGUGGGGAAUUGUGGACAAUGGGCGCAAGCCUGAUCCAGCCAGGCCGCGUGCGGGAAGAAGGCCUUCGGGUUGUAAACCGCGUUUGUCAGGGAAGAAACGCUCCGGGCUAAUACCACGGAGUAAUGACGGUACCUGAAGAAUAAGCACCGGCUAACUACGUG
rnacentral:rRNA from 1 species